rnacentral:rRNA from 1 species
GACGUAGGAGGCGAGCGUUGUCCGGAUUCAUUGGGCGUAAAGAGCACGCAGGCGGUUUGGCAAGUCGGAUGUGAAAACCCGGAGCUCAACUCCGGACCUGCAUCCGAAACUGCCCGACUAGAGGUAGGUAGGGGAGAUCGGAAUUCCUGGUGUAGCGGUGAAAUGCGCAGAUAUCAGGAGGAACACCGGUGGCGAAGGCGGACCUCUGGGCCUUACCUGACGCUCAGGUGCGAAAGCUAGGGGAGCGAACAGG